UUGAUAUGCAAAAAAAAAGUUACGAGUGACAAUGUAAACCAAACUUAAUGAUACCAAAAAAAUAUAUAUGUAAACCCAACCCAGCUAAACCCUCGAUAAAAACACACACACACACAGGCACAUUAGUAUACAUAAAACUGCAUUGCAUAAGUGUAUGUGUGGAUGUACGCAUGAAGAAUUGCAUAUGUAAUUCACACCCACUCACAACUGCCAGCCUACCACCACCACCACCACCACUGCUACUACUGCCACUACCACCGCCAUCACCACCUGCCCACCUACCCACCACCUCCCAGAGCCAUGGAAUAGAAGAGUUUGCCCACUGUCAUCUGAGGCGCCAUGCUGUUUACCAGAAGAAUCGUACAAAAUUCAUAUUAAUAGUAUUACAGUACAGUACGUUUUUGUUUGUUAUUGUGCUGUACGUACUUUUUUGAGAACCUGUUGAUACCCACAGCACACAGAUACACACACACACACACACAAAAAAAAAACAUUUGUAACGGCAUAAAAGUUUUCUUUAUUUGUUUUUAUUACAAAGAAAGCAGCUCAAGGGUAAAAAUAUGUAAAGUAAAAGUAGAAGGAAAGUAAGAGAAGAUUGUAGAGGAAAGUAGAACAGAGUAGAGAAAAGUUAAGAGGAGGAGGAGGAGAGGAAAGGAAAGGAGAUAAAGAGUUAAUUUUACAUGGUGCCUGUUAUGAAGCUUAGGGCCAAACUCUCUUAUUUUAUGCCUCUCGCCCCAUCCACGCACCUGCCCUGCCCACCCCCACCACACCCACACCCUCCGCCCCCGCCCACACCCGCCACACUCCUCCACGUGGUGCUAAAUGUACACAAGACGUAACAUAACAUAAAAAAUAAUAAAGCCCGUACGAGCGUAACCGUAAACAUGUAAGCAAGGAAACUUCAGUGUGGCGUCGGUAUUUCUCUAGCCUAGGACACUCCCGUAGAGCAUCGCCGCUUGACCGCUUCAGGGCCGCCCACGCCUCACUGCAAAGGUGCAAGCAUAGCCGUAAUACUUAAGGGCGUAUCGCUACCUGUUAAUAAUACCUGUCCGUACCUACCUUCAUACCUCCCCACCUUCCUUCCUUUACUAUGUUAUGUGUGGAAGGAAGAGAGAAAUGUGAGAGAAAGAUGAGUUAUUUAUGUGAAGGGGCGAGUGUAAGAAGAAAAGAUAAAUGGAGAAUGAGGAAAGACAGUGAGAGGAGAGAAACAAGAAAGAGAGAUAUGCGAGAGAAAGAUGAGCUAUUUAUGUGAAGAUGAGAGUGUAAAAAUAGAAGAUAAAUGGAGAAUGAGGAAAGACACAGUGAGGAGAGUGAUCAAAUGAGAGAUAAAGGAAACGAACCAAGGACUCAAGGACAAACAGAUUAAGUAAACGAGAGGAAGAAAAUAAGAGAUGUAAACAAUAUAUAAGGGAAUGAAAUGGAUGAUUCUACCCCUUGAAAAAUAUAUAAACGACAGACACAGCAAAUGAUAAAGAUGGAAACAAAAGACAAUCAUGAUACUCGGCAAAGUUAUUAAAGAAAAGAUAAUGAGUAGAUAUUAAAGCUUAAAAAGCACCACUAAUACAUAUCGACAAGGUAAUGAAGUUCUUUUAUAUGCAUAGUUACUGCUGCGCUUGUAUAGAAAUAUGUAUAAGGAAGGGGAAGAUAUAGAAACAUAGGGAAGGUGGAGUUUUAGUGUAGGGGAAUGCAUGGAAAAAUAGUGAUGUUUAUAUAUGAAUGUGAAAGUUUUUGAUGCACUGAAAGCUUUGGAAGGGAGAGAAUUAGUGUUAAGGUUUAUGGGAGGAAUAGUGAUGGUUUUGAGGUAAUGUUGAAGGCUUGGAUGAGUUUGUGGUGUUGUGGUAAAGGAGAAAAAGAAUGUUUGUAGAUUUGUGAAGAAACUAUAGGGAAGGGAGAGAAUUAAUGUUAAGGUUGUAUGGGAGGAAUAGUGAUGGUUUUGAGGUAAUGUUGAAGGCCUGGAUGAGUUUGUGGAGUUGUGGAAAAUGGAAAUAAGGAAUGGAGAUGAAAUAAAAGACCCAUGUUUGUAGAUUAGUGAAAAAAAGAAACUACAGAGAAGGGAGAGAGUUAGUGUUAAGGUUGUCUGGGAGGAAUAGUGAUGGUUUUGAGGUAAUGUUGAAGGCUUGGAUGAGUUUGUGGAGUUGUGUUAAAGGAAAAUAAGGAACGAAAAGGAAAAGAUUAGACCCAUGUUUGUUGAUUAGUGAAAAAAAGAAACUAUAGGGAAGGGGAAGAUAUGGAAAGGAAGUUAGUAUUAAGGAAAUGUGGGAAGAUGUUGAAGGCUUGAGUGAGUUUGUAGUCGUGGAAAAGGUAAAUAAGGAAUAGAGAAGAAAAAGAUAGACCCAUGUUUGUAAAUUUGUGAAGAAGAAACUAUGUAAAUACCAUGUAAUCAGAAAGCCAUUGACUAUAGAAUUUAAUAUAGUUUGUAAUGAAGAGGAAGAGUAAAUAAGCAUGCAAUAUAAAAGUUAAUGAUUUGAGAGAGAAAGAAGGAAAGACAUAGUUUAAGAAAUAUCAAACAUCUUAGGAAUAAAGGAAAAUAUGUAUUCAGAAAACCAUUAAGUAUAGGAUUCAAUAGUUUGUAAUGAGGAGAAAAGGCUUAUACAGUGCAAUAUCUUAUGUAUUCAGAACCUCAAUAGGAUAGGAUCGUUAUAUGAGAUUAGGGCGGAGUGGAAAAAUUUGGGCGGCUUUUCCGAUACCCUACGCCCCUGUCCACCCAGCAGUGAAUGGGUACCAGGUAUUAAUCGGGGGUUGUGGCCCGUCUCCUUGGAUCUGUUCCUUUCUCCUAUAGUUCCUUCCCCUUCUGUCUCUCUCCGGCAUAUGACUACAGAUGUUGCGCCGACUAAAUGAAACUUUCUGUAUGAGAUUAUAAAACGUCCCUCUAUUCUCAGAUGCUUUCGGCUCACAACAACCAUUUCCCAAGGCCACGAAGGAGGUUAGUCAAGUUCUCAAGAGUAUUUUUUUCAUGUCCAUGGGGCAGAAACCUUGUCAAACUAUCACUAGGCUCAUAACACUACCCAUGGAAAUACUAACACAACAACCUCUACCAAAGCCUUGUCAAACUAUCACUAGGCUCAUAACACUACCCAUGGAAAUACUAACACAACAACCUCUACCAAAGCCUUGUCAAACUAUCACUAGGCUCAUAACACUACCCAUGGAAAUACUAACACAACAACCUCUACCAAAGCCUUGUCAAACUAUCACUAGGCUCAUAAAACUACCCAUGGAAAUACUAACACAACAACCUCUACCAAAGCCUUACCAAAUGUCUUUGUGUGAGCCUCUGAGAAUAUGUGCCUCUGUAUACAAGGUGAUGGGGGGUUAUAAAAUGAUUGUUAUUGUUUGCCUGAGAGGAGAAAACAUGUCGAGAAAGAGGAGGAAAGUGGAAGAAAUAUGAGAGUAGAAGAAGAAAUGGUUUGUUCCUGUUUGUUUAAGAGUAGGAAAUAAGAAAGGUGUGUGGGUGCGUUUGUGUGUAAUCCCCGAAAUGUGAGGAUAUGGGUCUUGAGAAGUGUAUAUACGUAUUGUCAAACUUUGAAUGGUGGCUGAAAAGUUACAAUAAAGGGUUGUUGAUGAA